UACGAAGGGGGCUAGCGUUACUCGGAUUGACUGGGCGUAAAGGGCGCGUAGGCGGCUUGUACAGUCAGACGUGAAAUUCCUGGGCUCAACCUGGGGGCUGCGUUUGAUACUGGUGAGCUUGAAUGCGGGAGAGGAUAGUGGAAUUCCCAGUGUAGAGGUGAAAUUCGUAGAUAUUGGGAAGAACACCGGUGGCGAAGGCGGCUAUCUGGCCCGUAAUUGACGCUGAGGCGCGAAAGGCGUGGGGAGCAAACAGG
rnacentral:rRNA from 1 species